rnacentral:rRNA from 1 species
GACGAACGCUGGCGGCGUGCUUAACACAUGCAAGUCGUACGGUAAGGCCCUUUCGGGGGUACACGAGUGGCGAACGGGUGAGUAACACGUGAGUAACCUGCCCACAACUUUGGGAUAACGCUAGGAAACUGGUGCUAAUACUGGAUAUGUGCUCCUGCUGCAUGGUGGGGGUUGGAAAGCUCCGGCGGUUGUGGAUGGACUCGCGGCCUAUCAGCUUGUUGGUGGGGUAGUGGCCUACCAAGGCGGCGACGGGUAGCCGGCCUGAGAGGGUGACCGGCCAAAUUGGGACUGGAAUACGGCCCAGCCUCCUACGGGGGGAAGCAGGGGGAAAUUUUGCAAAAUGGGCGCAAGCCUGAUGCAGCAACGCCGGGGGCGGGAUGGCGGCCUUCGGGUUGUAAACCGUUUUAAGCCGGGACGAAGGUUUUUUGGACGGUACCUGAAGAAGAAGCCCGGGUAAACUCGGG